GACGAACGCUGGCGGCGUGCUUAACACAUGCAAGUCGAACGGAAAGGCCCUGCUUUUGUGGGGUGCUCGAGUGGCGAACGGGUGAGUAACAGGUGAGUAACCUGCCCUUGACUUUGGGAUAACUUCAGGAAACUGGGGCUAAUACCGGAUAGGAGCUCCGGCUGCAUGGUGGGGGUUGGAAAGUUUCGGCGGUUGGGGAUGGACUCGCGGCUUAUCAGCUUGUUGGUGGGGUAGUGGCUUACCAAGGCUUUGACGGGUAGCCGGCCUGAGAGGGUGACCGGCCACAUUGGGACUGAGAUACGGCCCAGACUCCUACGGGAGGCAGCAGUGGGGAAUAUUGCACAAUGGGCGGAAGCCUGAUGCAGCAACGCCGCGUGCGGGAUGACGGCCUUCGGGUUGUAAACCGCUUUCGCCUGUGACGAAGCGUGAGUGACGGUAAUGGGUAAAGAAGCACCGGCUAACUACGUG
rnacentral:rRNA from 1 species